rnacentral:rRNA from 1 species
UGAGUAACACGUAUGCAACCAACCCAUAACGAGGGGGGUAACCCGGAGAAAUCCGGACUAAUACCGGCAUAAGACCACGAUAUCGCAUGAUAUAGAGGUCAAAUAUUUAUAGGUUAUGGACGGGCAUGCGUCUGAUUAGCUGGUUGGCGGGGUAACGCCCACCAAGGCAUCGAUCAGUAGGGGUUCUGAGAGGAAGGUCCCCCACAUUGGAACUGAGACACGGUCCAAACUCCUACGAGAGGCAGCAGUGAGGAAUAUUGGUCAAUGGGCGAAAGCCUGAACCAGCCAUGGUCGCGUGAAGGAAUGAAGGUCCUAUGGAUUGUAAAACUUCUUUUGCAGGAGGGUAAAGUGAGCUACGUGUAGUUCAUUGCAAGUACCCUGCGAAUAAGCAUCGGCUAACUCCGUGCCAGCAGCCGC